GGGGCAUGGACAGUGGGGAAGGUAGACCUAGCUCUCUGUUGUCAAACUCACUAGUCGAUCUUAGUUGGGAGCAAUACUGAGUUGCUGUAAUGCCUAGUUCAAGAGUUUGAGUUUGAACUGUCCAUUGAUAUAAUAGGUCAGCAAUGGUCCUGCAAAGUUGCUGUCUAAAGAAAACUGCCUCCUUGGAAACCAAUGCUCGGACUAACGAAGCUCCAUCUGCAGUCAUUAGAAGCUUCCUAAGAACAACACCAUCUCUGGCCGGUAAAAGCAUCAAGACCAAGUGUGCAACAUCAAAAACACCAGAGAAUGACCUAUUUGUUAAAUAAUCAAGGGAAUUUUCAUGCUUUGAUGCUGCUUCUCUAUUCAAAACUUUACUAGUUGAUCCUACUUUCAAUAAAAGGGCAAGCCUGUCCCACCGGAAUUCUUUCCUUCUAUUUAAAACCACCGAAUGUAAAAUUUUCCUUGUUUCAGCUGAAUUUUCAGUGAGUAGUUUUCUGACAACAUAUGGGUAUGCAGCUUCAAAUGUCUUAAAGUUUGGAUCUGCAGCCAUCGCCAGACCUUCCAGGGAUGCAAGAGAUCGUAGAACAAGUGUGUAGUAUGGCGGCAUGCGGAAGUGAUAUUUGAGGGCCAUAGACCAUAUUUUGCUCAGAACCUUCGUGAACUUGACAUCAGGAAUUCCAUCCCUAAAUUCCACCUCCCCCAAUGAAUCUUCCAGUUCCAUUGUAACUUGCCGAAUGUUAGUCCCUGGCCUUAUG
rnacentral:misc_RNA from 1 species